rnacentral:rRNA from 1 species
AGAUUGAACGCUGGCGGCAUGCCUAACACAUGCAAGUCGAACGGCAGCGCGGGUAGCAAUACCUGGCGGCGAGUGGCGGACGGGUGAGGAAUACAUAGGAAUCUACCCUGUCGUGGGGGAUAACGUAGGGAAACUUACGCUAAUACCGCGAUACGACCGAGAGGUGAAAGCGGCGGACCGCAAGGCGUCGCGCGGCUGGAUGAGCCUAUGUCCGAUUAGCUAGUUGGCGGGUAAGAGCCCACCAAGGCGACGAUCGGUAGCGUGGUCUGAGAGGAUGAUCAGCACGACUGGGACUGAGACGACGGCCCAGACUCCUACGGGAGGCAGCAG